rnacentral:miRNA from 1 species
AAAAUGGCUGGCCCAGUUCUCCCAGUGUUCAGACUACGUGUUCGUUGGACAGAACCUGAACAGUAGUCUACACACUGGUUAAACUGGGACGGACAGCGGC